AUUGAACGCUGGCGACAUGCCUUACACAUGCAAGUCGAACGGUAACGGGCCUUCGGGUGCCGCCGAGUGGCGAACGGGUGAGUAAUGUAUCGGAACGUACCUUUAAGUGGGGGAUAACGUAGCGAAAGUUACGCUAAUACCGCAUACUCUGUGAGCAGGAUAGCAGGGGAUCGCAAGACCUUGCGCUUAUUGAGCGGGCGAUAUCAGUUUAGUUAGUUGGUGAGGUAAAGGCGCACCAAGGCGACGAUCUGUAGCGGGUCUGAGAGGAGGAUCCGCCACACUGGAACUGAGACACGGUCCAGACUCCUACGGGAGGCAGCAGUGGGGAAUUUUGGACAAUGGGGGCAACCCUGAUCCAGCCAUGCCGCGUGAGUGAAGAAGGCCUUCGGGUUGUAAAGCUCUUUCGGCCGGGAAGAAAUCGUAUCAGCUAAUACCUGGUGCGGAUGACGGUACCGGCAUAAGAAGCACCGGCUAACUACGUGCCAGCCGCCGCGGUAACAC
rnacentral:rRNA from 1 species